rnacentral:rRNA from 1 species
UACGUAGGGUGCAAGCGUUAAUCGGAAUUACUGGGCGUAAAGCGUGCGCAGGCGGUUUUGUAAGUCUGACGUGAAAUCCCCGGGCUCAACCUGGGAAUUGCGUUGGAGACUGCAAGGCUAGAGUUUGGCAGAGGGGGGUAGAAUUCCACGUGUAGCAGUGAAAUGCGUAGAUAUGUGGAGGAACACCGAUGGCGAAGGCAGCCCCCUGGGUCAAGAUUGACGCUCAUGCACGAAAGCGUGGGGAGCAAACAGG